rnacentral:rRNA from 1 species
AUUGAACGCUGGCGGCAGGCCUAACACAUGCAAGUCGAACGGUAACAGGAAACAGCUUGCUGUUUCGCUGACGAGUGGCGGACGGGUGAGUAAUGUCUGGGAAACUGCCUGAUGGAGGGGGAUAACUACUGGAAACGGUAGCUAAUACCGCAUAACGUCGCAAGACCAAAGAGGGGGACCCUCGGGCCUCUUGCCAUCGGAUGUGCCCAGAUGGGAUCAGCUUGUUGGUGGGGUAACGGCUCACCAAGGCGACGAUCCCUAGCUGGUCUGAGAGGAUGACCAGCCACACUGGAACUGAGACACGGUCCAGACUCCUACGGGAGGCAGCAGUGGGGAAUAUUGCACAAUGGGCGCAAGCCUGAUGCAGCCAUGCCGCGUGUAUGAAGAAGGCCUUCGGGUUGUAAAGUACUUUCAGCGGGGAGGAAGGGAGUAAAGUUAAUACCUUUGCUCAUUGACGUUACCCGCAGAAGAAGCACCGGCUAACUCCGU